rnacentral:rRNA from 12 species
AAUGAACUAGCCCUGAAAAUGGAUGGCGCUCAAGCGUACUACCAAUACCUCGCCGCUAGGGUAGAAACGAUGCCCUAGCGAGUAGGCAGGCGUGGAGGCCCGUGACGAAGCCUUGGGGGUGACCCCGGGUCGAACGGCCUCUAGUGCAGAUCUUGGUGGUAGUAGCAAAUAUUCAAAUGAGAACUUUGAAGACUGAAGUGGGGAAAGGUUCCACGUGAACAGCAAUUGGACGUGGGUUAGUCGAUCCUAAGAGAUAGGGAAACUCCGUUUUAAAGUGCAUGAUUAUCCAUGCCGCCCAUCGAAAGGGAAUCCGGUUAAGAUUCCGGAACCAGGAUGUGGAUCCUUGACGGCAACGUAAAUGAAGUUGGAGACACUGG